rnacentral:lncRNA from 1 species
UUUACAUAAUGACAAUUUUGAAAUCGAGCUACAUAUGCAACUAAUCCUUCUUCAUCCUCUUCCACUAUUAAUGCUGCUGCAAAUCCUAAUAAAUCUUGGUGGAACUCAGAUGAAUAGAAUACCAGUAACUAUGGGCUUCCUUGAAAAUGAACUCAUGAAGUCCAUCUACAUUAGGCUUACAAAUACGACCAUGCAUCCUCAAAACUCCAUCACUCCAACAGUAAACUACUUGGCAUCACAAUGUCGCAGUGUGUCCCUAAGGUUAAGCAAAUGAGGGUCGUCAUAUUAUCGCUCCCCGAUAAGCUCAAACAAGGAAGACCGAGCGACUGUACAAGCUAGAACACGACUGGGCUCAGAAAUAUCGAACCUCAAGAACUGAUUGGCUAAGGCCUGAACAUCUAAUGCAAGUGGUCUCUUAC